rnacentral:snoRNA from 1 species
UGAAGUUACACUCUCUAGGUGAGCAAUUACGUGCAGCACGUAUAAAGAAAGAAUUAAGUUUAUAUGAUG